rfam:Colletotrichum gloeosporioides Cg-14 contig01848, whole genome shotgun sequence.
GAACCUGAUGAUUCAUUUUUUCGUGCUUUGCACGGUUGGAAUUACCGGCUGAAAUCCAUUGACGAUAAAAACUGGCUGUUUCUGACU